rnacentral:rRNA from 1 species
AUGAACGCUGGCGGCGUGCCUAAUACAUGCAAGUCGAGCGAACAGACGAGGAGCUUGCUCCUCUGACGUUAGAGGCGGACGGGUGAGUAACACGUGGAUAACCUACCUAUAAGACUGGGAUAACUUCGGGAAACCGGAGCUAAUACCGGAUAAUAUAUUGAACCGCAUGGUUCAAUAGUGAAAGACGGUUUUGCUGUCACUUAUAGAUGGAUCCGCGCCGCAUUAGCUAGUUGGUAAGGUAACGGCUUACCAAGGCAACGAUGCGUAGCCGACCUGAGAGGGUGAUCGGCCGCACUGGAACUGAGACACGGUCCAGACUCCUACGGGAGGCAGCAGUAGGGAAUCUUCCGCAAUGGGCGAAAGCUUGACGGAGCAACGCCGCGUGAGUGAUGAAGGUCUUCGGAUCGUAAAACUCUGUUAUUAGGGAAGAACAAAUGUGUAAGUAACUAUGCACGUCUUGACGGUACCUAAUCAGAAAGCCACGGCUAACUACGUG